GUUUAUAUGGCUAGACAGUUCCUUGAAAAAUAUAUUGCUGCCGUAAAAUAAAUACAAAAAUGAAUUAAUUUUUGUAUCUCAAAAUCAUAAGUUUGGUUUAUCCAAUUCAUGGGGACUUCGGCAAGCAAAAGACUUUCACAAACUGGCUUAAAGCAUUGCACAUUAUGGAAAGCAGACAGAAGUCCGGCCUGCCGAGCCGUAAUGAUGGCGCUGGACUCUAUGAACCUGAGCAUCACGGAGGUGGAUAUCAACAUUGACAAAGGAGAACAUAGGACACCUGAGAUGCUCGUUCUUAACCCAUUACAAACAUUGCCAGUUUUCAAGGAUCGAGAGCUCGUUCUAAGUGAUAGUCAUGCAAUUUGUACAUACUUGGCUGGGCGGUAUUGUGACUCCGGCCGUCUGUUGCCCAAAGACCCUGGAGGCCGUUCAUUAGUGGACCAACAUAUGCAUUAUAACAGUGGGACACUUUAUCCGCGGUUCCGCGCAGCUGCUUACCCAAUCCUUUACGAGAACUGUAAUUUUGUAAUGCCGCAACAAAUAGCAGAUAUCGAAUGCGCUUACUCUGAUUUAGAGAGCAUGUUAUUAGGAAGGACCUGGUUCGGCGGCAGUUGGCCAACUCUCAGCGACAUAGUCUUUGCUUCUACUAUCAGCACUCUGAACAUUCUUGUGCCUAUUGACAAAAACAGGUAUCCACGACUAUCGAGCUGGCUUUUUCGUGUUUCAGAAGAGCUAUUUUUCGUAACAGCUAAUAGAAAAGGACUAAGCGAGUUCUCGAGAAGGAUAGAUUGCGGCAGUAUUUGUGAUGAGAAAGAGUUCAAGUGUCCCAGGAGUUCAAUGAGACGUCGGAAGCUAGCGGGAAACAUUCCCGAUAAAAAAUAGCAUUGGCGUAGCCAGGAGUGGGAGGGUGGAGACUGCUGAAAGCAGACUAUAAUGGGGCCUGUGUCAUCGCUUGCUGCACAAAUACAGGGACAAUAAAAUUAUAAAUUGUCAAAAAUAUGCAGAAGCAUGUGCCCCAUUUGCCCCUCCUUGGCUACGUUCAAAGCAAGCAGAUAAAUAUUUUGUUUUUUUUUAUGCUUAUUCUAAAUAAAUAAGUGAUAAG
rnacentral:misc_RNA from 1 species